CCUCCUAGUCCUUCCAAACAGUUCACCAACUGGGGACCAAGCACUCAAACAUAUGAACCUAUGGGAGGGGGUGUGCAUACUUAUUCAAACCGCCAUACCUGACAGUACUCUUAUUUGUGUAUUUGAUUGGUUUUUUUCAUCUUUAGAUAUGGUCUUCCGGGCUAGCCUUGGACUUCUGAUCCUUCUCCAGAGUGCUGGGAUUACAGGGAUAUCUACCUCACUUGACGUCUGCCCAGACAUUGCUGGGCACCACAGAGGAAGAUGUUCCUUUUCCAUCUCUCCCCACACAGCACCACAGAAUAGUUUAAACCAUGGAUGUAUAUUGUCUGUGGUUCUGGGUCCAGAGGUUCAAGGUCAAGGUGUCAGUACCGUUGCUUCCCCGCUAAAACCUUUUCCUAGCUUGCUUUCUGUCUCCUCGAUAAACACUAUGACCAAAAGCAACUUGAGGAGGUAAGGGUUUAUUUCAGUUUACACUUCUAGGUCACAGUCCAUCAUGAAGGGAAUUCAGGGUAGGAAUCAUGGAAGAAUAUGGCCCGCUGCCUUCUUCUUUUAGCUCAUGCCCAGCCACCUUUCUGAUUCAGCCAAGACCCACAUGCCUAGGGGAUGGUGCUGCCCAUGGUGGGCUUGGCCCUUGCUUACCCAAUUGUCAAUCAAGACAAUCUCUCAUGGUCAUAGGCCAAUCUGAUGUAUUUCCCAGGUGGCUCUAGGUUAGGUUAAACUGACAAUAUAGUCUAACCAGCACAGGCUUCCUUCCCAGGCUUGGGGACAGUCCUUCACUGUGUCCUCACAUGCAUACUUGGUGUCUCUCUGUGUGAAAAAACUUCCUCCUCCUGUAAAAGUACCCAUGAGUUCUGGCUUGCCCUGGUUGUCUUAUUAUAACUAAGUCAACACUCUGAAAGUUCUGUCUCUAAACAGCCACAUUUUGAGGUCCUGGAGUUGGACCUUAACAUACAGCCCUUACCCUAGUUCCAAUUCACUGCUGACACAAACAGGGAAAGAGAAGAUGACCUGGGUCCUAGUAGUUAUCUGAGGGAUUUAUUGCAUGAAGUGACACCAUGACCACUAAAACUCUUAUAAAGAAAAACAUUUAAUUGGGGCUGGCUUACAGAGGUUUAGUCCAGCAUGAUCAUGGCGGGAAGCUUGGCUAGGCACAGGCAAACAUGGUGCUGGGGGAAUUGAGAGUUCUACAUCCGGAACUGAAGACAGAGCAAGAGAGACUCUGGGUCUGGCUUGAUCACUUAAAAGCAAACCUCAAAGCCCACCCCCAGUGACACACGUCCUUCAACAAGACCACACCUCCUAACAGUGCCAUUCUCUAUGAGGCUAUGGGUGCCAUUUUCAUUCAAACCUCCACAGAUGCAUGCAGAGCAGGCCAAGAGCCCAGGGGCAUUCAUAUCCCACAUGCUACCUAUGCUCACUGCACAUCAGAGUAUUUGUGACCGCAGUACCACGUGGCCUUCCAGUGGUCUUUAUUUUGCUGGUACUACUCGUUCGUCCGUUCUGUGUUGAGAUACCGUCUCUCGUGACGCCUAGACUGGUCUCAAACUCACUAUGUGUGAGAAUGACUAUUGUCUUAGUGACCUUUCUAUUAUUGUGAAGAGACGCCAUCGCCAAGGCAACUUAUAGAAGAAAGAGUUUACUGGGGACUGGCUUACAACUUCAGAGAGAGAGUCCACGAUCACCAAGUCAUGGAGCAAGGAAGGGAACACGCAGGUGUGCACAGGAGCUCACAUGUUAAGACGGCCAGGAGGCAAAGAGCUAACUGAGGAUGACGUGGGCUUUGGAAACCUCUAUGCUCACCUUCAGUAAUGCACCUUCUGCAGAAAGGCCACGCCCCCUAAUCCUUCCCAAAUGGUUCCACCAGCUGUAGACCAAGCAUUCAGAUGAGCCUAUGGGGGGUCAUUCUCAUUCAAACCACCACAGCCUCAAUCUCUUGAUCAUCCUGCCCCCCCCCCCAAUUCUUAAGUGACUGAGUGCUAGGAUCACAGGCCUGUGCCACUUUGUCUGGUUUGUGCAGUGCUAGGGAUCAAACUCAGGGCCUCCUCUGUGCAAGUGCUCCAACGACCAAGCUACAUCCCAGUACUUAGUGGCUUCACAGGCUUCCUAGGAAGACCUUGGUAGAGACAAACACACACACACACACACACACACACACACACACACAGAGAGAGAGAGAGAGAGAGAGAGAGAGAAAGAGAGAGAGAGAGAGAGAGGCAUGCACACAAAGGGGGCUGGAGAGAUGGCAAAGAGGUUAAGAGCACUGAUUGCUCUUCCAGAGGUCCUGAGUUCAAUUCCCAGCAACUGCACGGUGGCUCACAACCAUCUGUAAUGAGAGCUGAUGCCCUCUUCUGGUGUGUCUGAAGACAGCUACAGUGUACUUAUAUAUAAUAAAUAAUUCUUUAAAAAAAACCACACACACACACAUACACACAAAGACAGACACACAUACAUAUACAUACACACAAAUGAACACACACACACACACACACACACACACACACACACACACGAUCUUGUUCAACAGUGAUGGUUGUUUGAUCCUAGCCACUUAUUCCAAACUACCACUGGGUCUCUUUCUCCACUGUGGUUGUAGCAUCACAUCUGGAAGGCAUGCAUGUGACCCAUUACUAUGAUGUAUUGAAGGCUGUGCCCCCAUACCUCAGAGGUCACGCACAGAGGAUGCACAAGCUGAGCCUAGGGCAUUGUUUUCCUGACUGCGUACACUAAAAGCUUCCACCGCAAAGCUUAGUGUGCAGAAUCCAGAGUCAGGUCUUUGUUUAAUAUGAGUCCUGUUUCUCCAGGCAUCCAAGGGAUUAAUUUUGCAGAGUAAACAGACUUCGAAAUGGGACACGGGCUCCGAGAGCCUGCACUUGGCUUGCUGGUCCUGGCUGGUUGGAAGAGAAUGAGGGAAGGAGAGGACAGGAUCCUCCUCUCAAGUAUUCAGCAGACAAGAUUUGCUCCUAGAACUAAUGCAGAGACCCUACUGAGUCCAGCAGAGACUCUGGAUGCUUCAGGUAGGGGCGACUUUCUGCCCUGCUUCCCUCGUGUCCACCUCCACACAGGAGCACCAUCUCCUGGCUCACAAUGUCCAAGGAUGUGCGGUCUAAAUUCCAGAAGGGUUUGAAGAUCAUGCCUGGAAAAGACAACCAUUGAACUGGUAAGAUCCCCUCCCCAAGCAGCCGCUUUCCCCUCAGCUAAACCCAGAAACUGGGUGUAUCUUUGGGAUCCUGACCCCUUGGAAGUUCCCAGCUCAGAUACAGCGAGUUAUCCUUGUUGAUGGGUACCUACCCCUUAGCCACAGGCUCUACAACAGCUUCCCUCUGCCUAGCACCCUCCAGUCUCCACACUCAGCUCCUCCCACUUCUUAAACACCAAUCCCAUGUGAACUUCCUCUUCAAACUCCUCCUCCUUCUUCUGGG
ensembl:lncRNA